rnacentral:rRNA from 1 species
AACGAACGCUGGCGGCAUGCCUAACACAUGCAAGUCGAACGAGACCUUCGGGUCUAGUGGCGCACGGGUGCGUAACGCGUGGGAACCUGCCCUUAGGUUCGGAAUAACUCCCCGAAAGGGGUGCUAAUACCGGAUAAUGUCUUCGGACCAAAGAUUUAUCGCCUUUGGAUGGGCCCGCGUUGGAUUAGCUAGUUGGUAGGGUAAAAGCCUACCAAGGCAACGAUCCAUAGAUGGUCUGAGAGGAUGAUCAGCCACACUGGGACUGAGACACGGCCCAGACUCAGACGGGAGGCAGCAGGAGGGAAUCGUCCGCUAUGGGCGAAUGCCGGACGGAGCAACACCGAGUGAGUGAUGAAGGUCUUCGGAUCGUAAAACUCUGAUAGUAGGGAGGAAAAAAGGUGUAAGGAACUAGGCAGGUCUUGACGGUACCUAAUCAGAAAGCCACGGCUAACUACGUG